UACGUAGGGCGCAAGCGUGUCCGGAAUUAUUGGGCGUAAAGAGCUCGUAGGCGGCUUGUCGCGUCGAAUGUGAAAUCUCAGGGCUCAACUCUGACAUUGCAUUCGAUACGGGCAGGCUCGAGUUCGGUAGGGGAGACUGGAAUUCCUGGUGUAGCGGUGAAAUGCGCAGAUAUCAGGAGGAACACCGGUGGCGAAGGCGGGUCUCUGGGCCGAUACUGACGCUGAGGAGCGAAAGCGUGGGGAGCGAACAGG
rnacentral:rRNA from 1 species